rnacentral:rRNA from 1 species
AGCGAACGCUGGCGGCAGGCCUAACACAUGCAAGUCGAACGAACCUUUCGGGGUUAGUGGCGGACGGGUGAGUAACACGUGGGAACGUGCCUUUAGGUUCGGAAUAACUCAGGGAAACUUGUGCUAAUACCGAAUGUGCCCUUCGGGGGAAAGAUUAAUCGCCUUUAGAGCGGCCCGCGUCUGAUUAGCUAGUUGGUUGAGGUAAUGGCUCACCAAGGCGACGAUCAGUAGCUGGUCUGAGAGGAUGAUCAGCCACAUUGGGACUGAGACACGGCCCAAACUCCUACGGGAGGCAGCAGUGGGGAAUCUUGCGCAAUGGGCGAAAGCCUGACGCAGCCAUGCCGCGUGAAUGAUGAAGGUCUUAGGAUUGUAAAAUUCUUUCACCGGGGACGAUAAUGACGUUACCCGGAGAAGAAGCCCCGGCUAACUUCGUG